rnacentral:rRNA from 1 species
AUGUUGUUAAUUGAACAUUGUAAAAUAAGGGAUAUGAUUACUUGGGGUUCUGAUGCUAGAGCUAGCAUAGUUAACCACAAUCAAAAUCCGGACAGCGGCCAACAUGCAGUCCACGAUGGGGUAGAGUCUACUGUUCAAAAGACUCACCAGGCAUCUUUUGUUGACCUUGAUGUAGCUUCAUCCACUUUGGGUGAGGUGAAGGUGUCACUGAAAUGCAAAUUUGACCCUUCAGAGGUCUACAUUAGUUUGGACAAGCUCUUCCAAAUAGUUGAGGAUAAAUUUCUCCGCUCAAACAAGACCCUACCUCCUGAUUUUUCUAUUGGCAAGCUGAUGAAUGAGAUAUGCCAAUAUGUUGCAGAGUCACGUCCUGUGCAUUCUGAAGCUCAAAACAAUGGUGGCAGCUUGCAAGAACAGGCUUUGGAGACGUAUGCUCCCUUUGUGAAGCCAAUUGCUUGUAAGCAUGCCCUAUUGAUGGGAAUGGCUGCCGUAGGAUCAUCCUCGAAACCUAGCUUUCAAAAUUGGGUAGUUGCUUAUCAUCCUCUGGAAGCACUUUUUAAGCAAAGGCAACUGCACGAUGUUGCUAACAUAACAAAGGGAGAAUAA